UUUUAUACUGGAUCGUGUGACAGGAGAGAAACUACACAAGUGUUCCUUAAUGUUGUGGCUGUUUGGGUUCCUGGCAUGCUGAUUUGUGAUUUAAGAUUAAAAUCACAUUGCCAGGGAUUACCACAUAACCAUGACACUGCAUCCUAUU
rnacentral:miRNA from 1 species